GUGCCACCGAAGGGAGGCUUCUUGGUGCUUUUUUGUUCAACCUGUUGGGUGGUUGAGAAGCCCGUCCUAGCCUACGCUCGGUAUUCACUUACAAAGUAAAUUAGGAAAAUUGACUGACUCCAGUGCUAAUACAGUAUGACAUUUUAAAGCGGAGGCAGUUACAGUGCUUGGAUAGAAGUAGGGAUUCCCGGGCUGCCUGAGCAGAGCCUUCUGGAACUCCUACAACAUAAUCGCAGACAAUGUGCUAGGCCUGCUGGAGCUCUUUCAUGUCUUUCGAGUAAAUCACGUGUGAAUUUGUUUAGCGAGGUUUCACGCUUCGGGGAAGCGUGUGCGUGUGCCUCUGAAAAUCRGUAGCUCUUGGUGGCUUCCGGACAGGAGGAACGCAGUUGCACCGUUAAAAGGGCAGCCGUCUACCUGCCAGGCGCUCUGAAGACCUGAUAAGGGGCUGUAUUCUGAGAGGUUAAACUUGAAGAGCAACUUUGAAAAGAAAUGAAGUAAUCUUCCUUCGUGUCAUACCCCCUCCGAGUGAAAGCAGAGACUUGUAAAGAGGGAAGAAGGAUGCAAAGGUGAAAAUGAUUAGCUGGCUCGUGUUUUCAAGCCCACGUUGAGGUACUCCGAACCUUCGUGUUGCUGGCUGCCCUGUACACGGUUUUGACAUAUUGAGAUACUGGUGAAUGAUCUUUGAGUUGUUUGGUUAAUGAUGGAUUUAGGCUGCGAAGAGAUGUCAUGACUUAGUAGAGCAGAAGUGUCUUAGUYGGCUGGUGUAC
rnacentral:lncRNA from 1 species